rnacentral:lncRNA from 1 species
GAGGACACAGCGAGAAGAUGGCCGUCUGUGAGCCAGGAAGUGGGAUCUCACCAGACGCCAAAUCUGCCAAUGCCUUGAUGUUAGACUUCCCAGCCUCCAGGCCGAAGGUUAGCCCUGAGCUAACUACCGCCAGUCCCCCUCUUUUUGCUGAGGAAGCCUGGCCCUGAGCUAACAUCCAUGCCCAUCUUCCUCUAUUUUAUAUGUGGGAUGCCUGCCACAGCAUGGCGUGCCAAGCGGUGCCGUGUCUACACCUGGGAUCCGAACCAGCGAACCCGGACCGCCGAGAAGCAGAACACGAGAACUUCACCACUGUGCCACCGGGCUGGCCCCAGAGUGCCUGCUUUUAAUUCUUUUGAGUAUAUAUCCAGAAGUGGAAUUGCUGAGACAUAUGAUGUUGAGGACUUCAUAUUAGCUGGACAAUGGUGGAAAAACAAAUGCAAUCUCUGCUUUCAACGGCUUCCAGGCCUGAGGACUUCAGUGCAUUGGGUGUCAAGUUGCCUGUCUAUGAGGAAGGCCGCAUGGCCUGUCUCAAAUCCCAUUUGCGGAGGUGAAAGAGGAACCAGGAC